UAGCUUUCUUAAAUUUGCGUUCAUAGCAACGUCACUUUUUGAUCCUUCGAUGUCAGCGCUUUCUGUCAUUAUGAAGUAAAAUUCACCAAGCUUUGGAUUGUUCACCCACUAGGAGGAAUGUGAGCUAGGUUUAGACUGUCAUGAGACAGGUU
rnacentral:ncRNA from 1 species